rnacentral:rRNA from 1 species
GUAACAUGUGGGAAUCUGCCUUUUGGUUCGGAACAACACGGGGAAACCUGUGCUAAUACCGGAUAAGUCCUUACGGAGAAAGUUUUAAUGCCAAAAGAUGAGCCCGCAUUUGAUUAGCUAGUUGGUGAGGUAAAAGCUCACCAAGGCGAUAAUCAAUAGCUGAUUUGAGAGGAUGAUCAGCCACACUGGGACUGAGAUACGGCCCAGACUCCUACGGGAGGCAGCAGUGGGGAAUCUUGCACAAUGGGCGAAAGCCUGAUGCAGCGAUGCCGCGUGAGUGAAGAAGGCCUUUGGGUUGUAAAGCUCUUUUGUCGGGAAAGAUAAUGACUGUACCCGAAGAAUAAGGUCCGGCUAACUUCGUGCCAGCAGCCGCGGUAAUACGAAGGGACCUAGCGUAGUUCGGAAUUACUGGGCGUAAAGAGUAUGUAGGCGGCUAGAUAAGUUAAUUGUGAAAGCCCAAAGCUUAACUUUGGAAUUGCAAUUAAAACUAUUUAGCUGGAGUAUGAUAGAGGAAAGCGGAAUACAUAGUGUAGAGGUGAAAUUCGUAGAUAUUAUGUAGAACACCAGUUGCGAAGGCGGCUUUCUGGAUCAUUACUGACGCUGAGAUA